AGCAGUAUGGUGCAAUAUUCGCACACAGGAUUCCCCUAAGAUGAUUUGGAAGAAAAUUAAUCCCGAGGCCCUUGUUCGAAUCAAGGUACUGCUC